UAGUCAACGAAACACAUGAUGACCGGC
rnacentral:piRNA from 1 species